rnacentral:rRNA from 1 species
CCUACGGGAGGCAGCAGUGAGGAAUAUUGCGCAAUGGACGAAAGUCUGACGCAGCAACGCCGCGUGGGCGAAGAAGGCCUUCGGGUUGUAAAGCCCUUUUCUGAGGGAAGAGAGAGGACGGUACCUCAGGAAUAAGUCUCGGCUAACUACGUGCCAGCAGCCGCGGUAAAACGUAGGAGGCGAGCGUUAUCCGGAUUUAUUGGGCGUAAAGCGCAUGCAGGUGGUUUCGUUAGUCGGAUGUGAAAGCCUCUGGCUUAACUGGAGGAGGUCGUUCGAUACUGCGGAACUUGAGGUCGGGAGAGGAAAGCGGAAUUCCCGGUGUAGUGGUGGAAUGCGUAGAUAUCGGGAGGAACACUAGUGGCGAAGGCGGCUUUCUGGCCCGCACCUGACACUAAGAUGCGAAAGCGUGGGGAGCGAACGGGAUUAGAUACCCCGGUAGUCCU